rnacentral:rRNA from 1 species
UACAGGGGGGGGCAAGCGUUGUUCGGAAUUACUGGGCGUAAGGGCUCGUAGGCGGCCAAUUAAGUCCGACGUGAAAUCCCCAGGCUUAACCUGGGAACUGCGUCGGAUACUGAUUGGCUUGAAUCCGGGAGAGGGAUGCGGAAUUCCAGGUGUAGCGGUGAAAUGCGUAGAUAUCAGGAAGAACACCCGUGGCGAAGGCGGCUCUCUGGGACGGUACUGACGCUGAGACGCGAAAGCGUGGGGAGCGAACAGG